GUUUUAGAAAAAAACACCAAUAUUAUCUUAUCCAGUCUGAGCAGUGAGUGAAAUUAGAUGGACCUCUGAUUCCUCAUCUCUCCCUUUCCCUCCGCGAUGCAAUAGCUACUCUCGGACUCUGCCGCCAUACAAACCAAUUCAACUUUCUGCUAUGACUCUAAACCUUUGCACUCCAUGUUUCUCUCGCCUACUCCACCACCCUUCUUCUUCACUCCCCAACCACACCCCUUACCCCUCUCUAUUCUUCUUUACUUCCUCACUCCACAACCAAUCCAGGUUCCCAAACGCCAAAGCCUCCGUCAGUGAGAGCCACAAUGAAACCUCCGACCACACCGCUGCCGACCUACUGGACCACCAACUUCUCCUCCGAAUCGCCGCAAACGCCAAAGACGCCGUCGAAGCCUUGCAGAUGAUCGCCCAAAACUCUUCCCGAAACGACGGCGUCGUUUCCACCUCUGAUUGCUGCUCCAUUAUAACCGCCGCGCUUAACCGCAACAAUCCGCAACUCGCUCUCUCCAUUUUCUACGCCAUGCGCGCCAGUUUUCAACAAGUUGGCGAGACUGGUCCUUUGGUUGAGAGAUGGAAGUGGUCAAGGCCAAAUGCACAUGUUUACAUGUUGUUGAUUCAGGGUUUAGCUGCGGUGUUGAGGGUUUCUGACGCUCUUAGGGUCAUUAAGUAUAUUUGUGAGGUUGGCGUUUCUCCUGGUGAGGAGGUUCCUUUUGGGAAGAUAGUGAAGUGUCCUAGUUGUCGGAUUGCUGUGGGUGUUGCACAGCCACAACAAGGUAUUCAGAUAGUAUCUUGUGCAAAGUGUCGCUACCAAUACGAACUUGUUUCAGGUGACAUAGUCAGUAUUGAAUCAGAAGAAAUCAGCAUGGACAUUACCGCAUGGGAAAGGGGGUUAAGAUUACUGAAACUGAUGAAGCAAAGCAUUCCUACUGCUGUUCACUCUAUUGUGGUGCAGACCCCUUCUGGUCUGGCUCGCACUCAUAGAUUUGCAACUGAAACAGUUGAUCUGCCAGCACAAGAAGGGGAAAGGGUAACUGUUGCUGUGGCAGCUCCAUCAAAUGUAUAUAGAAAGGCUGGCCCUUUUAAAUUCAGUCCAAGGGCCCCUGAUUUCUAUCCAGGUGAGGCUAUGUGCAUAACAAACCACAAAGAUGGGCGGGAAUCACUGCUGUUAAGAGCCCCAAGAAAAGAAGAAAAUUCAUCAUUACUCAAACCCUCCCUCAUCUUUCCACUUCUAGCUUUUUUGGCCACCGGUGAUGCUGCCUCUGGACUUAUUGACCCCAGUCUUCCCCAAUUGGUAUCAGUUGUUGCAGUUUCAACUCUUGUUGUUGGAUCUACAUUGAACACUGUUGUUCUUCCUCAAUUUAACCAGCUUCCACAGAAGUCAGUAGAAGCAAUUGCGAUCAAACAACAACUUUUAUCUCAAUAUGAUGUUCUUCAGUCUCGCAUCAACGACCUAAAAGAAGCUGCUGAAAAAGAGAUUUGGAUGUUAGCUCGAAUGUGCCAACUUGAGAACAAAAUUUCAGCUGUUGGAGAACCUGCUUAUCGGACUCGGAGAAGUAAAGUCAAAAGGGUGAGAGAGAGCUUGCAAAACUCCCUCAGGGGACGGAUUGAAUUGAUUGACAGCUAUGCUAGGAUUUCCUCAAUGAUUGAAAUCGAAGUGGAGAUGGAGACUGAAGUUCUUGCUGCUGAAACUGCUAGUAAUGUGGAUAGUAUCAAAGAACAGAUAGAGCAAAUCAUGGAGCUUGAAAAUUUGGAGGAGAGAUGGAAAAUACAAGCAGAAGCCAAUGAUGAAGCUGAAAGACUUCUUAGUUCUCAGCCCAUGCCUUUGGACGAAGUUUAAAGAUGUAUGGAUGCAUCUGGUUCGCACUACUGUAUCAAUAGUCAAGCUUCACCUCCCAGCUCAAUGGUAUUUUCUACUGACCAAAAACAGCAACAUCCAAUCACCUGUCUUUUAGCAGGCAAGUUUUGAAAUUUUGGUAUCUUAGAACAAUCACCAUUAUGUUACCCAUAAGGUUUACAAAGUAUAUGAUUAUAAAUAUGAUACUAUGUGGCAUCUAAUGCAAAUAUUUGUUGCCACUGAACCGUGAACCGUCCUCGCAGAUCUCAAAGUCAAUGGUAGAUACCAGCAAUGUGGUGUAAAUUCGUUGUUAACUUCUUGCGUACAUGGGAUAAUGGAAGCUUCGCAAGCAGAAUCAAUCGGGGAAUGGUGAGCCAUAAUGCGCCAUCUAACAACAAAACCUGAGCAAAGAAUCGUACCUUAAAAUAGAAAAUGGAGCCUUCGAAGGUUUAACAAAGAGAAUCAAGCCUUCAAAAUUGAACGAGAGAUGAUGUCUUCAAACCGAGAAGAGAAUUGUUCCUUCAAAGGAAAAUAAAUAAAUAAAAAUGAGCCCUAAUGUGCGUCUCACACAAAGCAUUAGUCGCACGCCUCAACGGCUAAAAUUUAUUGUCAUUUUAGGUAUGAAAAAAUUAUCUCUCCAAUGGACUCACAAUUGGUCUCACUGUUGCAAGCUUGCACAGUCUGCAGACUCCACAAGUUUAACCAAAGCUUACAAGAAAAUAAUUUUGUCUAAUUGUUUGGCUCUAUUCACUUGAGCAGACUCGUAAUCUCGUAUGAUUUUAUGAGUUAAAUCGAGAGAGUUCGACAAUCAUGGAUAUAAUCUUUGUUGAGAAGUGUAUAGAGGAAAUAAAUUGGAAACUAGAGAUGUCAUAUUUAUUUUUGAAA